UCUUAAUUUUGUCCCUCAUACCACACCAUACUAUUUUACCAAACAAACUAAUGAAAUUGGCACAAAAGAUGUGGAAAAAUUGAGCUCAGAGACUCGUUAAAUACAGGUGUGUGCUGUAAUCAGCACCACAGGUGUGUUCAGUCUUCUAAUCAGUCCCUCUGUCUGUUUAAAGGUAAACACUACAAGAACAUUUCCAAGCAGCUUGAUGUUCUUCUGGCUUCAGCUGUCCAGACUGUUGAGAAGUUUAAGGUCCACAGGAUUGGAGAUGACCUCCCUGGACAUGUCCACAACUUAUGGGUCCUCCAAAAGGACAAAGACUCGAAGCACAGCUAAAAACAAUCAGACAUGGGACUGGCCUCUAACUGAACUCAGCUGGAGCAGAACACCUGUGGACAGGUGCAGGAGUCUCAGAGAUGCACAGAAAUCACUGGAUUAUCCCAACAGGUUGAGCAGCAAGAUCUAAAGGUUUGAAGAGCCGUUUCUGCUCAGUUUGGGACGAGAGUGGACGUCGAGGUGGCGGACCCUGUGAGGACGACAGAUGACAAGCUGUAGAAGUCCUGCAGCAACAACUGCAGCGUGAUAAAUGAAGAGACGUCGGACUGAUGAGGGUUUGAAUGAAGGUAACCACCCAGGUGUCUCAACAUAAAAGUGAAGAGUUGAAGCAUUCUCGGCUGUUGAGAGACCCUCACAAAUCAACUCCGUCCUGUACUGAAUGCGAGGAGAGAGAAAAACGCAGCCUUGCCUAAAAAUACCCCAUUUCACAAUGUCAGCUCACAUUGCUUACAGAUGUUGAUUGACUGAAGCUGCGGUCCAAAACAUUCUGUACAGAUGGUGUUUUUAGUGUUUCAGCUUUUCUGGUUUCCCUCCAACCUCCUGGAGAAUCUGUCAGAGAGGAGUGUGAAGUGUAACGCUUGAUGUCUGAGAAGUGAAAGUCACGUUUAAUGUAAAUCAUCUUCUGUUCCCAUCCACGUUGUUCUUUAAUGUUGAGCAGAUUUUAAAGUUAAGAACAAGAAAAGCUAAAAUAAAUUAAACGCUCAAUUGAGACUCUGGUGUAAAUCUGAAAAAUGCAGUUGGUUUUAUUUUAGCACAGUUGAAUAUUUAUCAUUACAAACUUUAUUUUGGCUGCUCCUUUCGUCAGGAGUCUCUGCUAUGAGUGAAAUUUGCACAAAAAUGUUGGCAAUUAUUUUACGUCAGAUAUCUCUACUCACACAACCUGAGCUGAAACCUGCACUGAGCUGCCACCGCCUCCACUUAUUGUUACAAAUAUUACUAAAAAUAUCUCAAAUACUGUGUGCAUGCCAAGUUCUGAGUACUUUACUGACUUUUGUUAAAGAAGCUGAAACUGAAUUAUUAAUAAUUAAACA